UACGGAGGGGGGCUAGCGUUGUUCGGAAUUACUGGGCGUAAAGCGCGCGUAGGCGGACCUGCAAGUCGGGGGUGAAAGCCCGAGGCUCAACCUCGGAACUGCCUUCGAUACUGCGGGUCUCGAGUCCGGGAGAGGUGAGUGGAAUUCCUAGUGUAGAGGUGAAAUUCGUAGAUAUUAGGAAGAACACCAGUGGCGAAGGCGGCUCACUGGCCCGGUACUGACGCUGAGGCG
rnacentral:rRNA from 1 species